rnacentral:lncRNA from 1 species
GUUUGAUUUGCAAGGAAAUACUAAGCGGCUGCCUCAGCGUUUUGAUGAGUGAAGACAUGUUCCUACAGGCACUGACAGCCUUCAGCACCCAUCAUAGGACAAGACCAAUAAAAAUGCUCUGGGAUCUUUGUUUCUGAGUUGGCAAUCCUGCACUGGAAGAAUGAACUGAACUGCAAGAAAACUGCUUAAAAUGGGCAGUAACACAUGUCACCAGAAGGGAUGAUUUUAAGAGUGACAUAAAUUCACUUUUUCCAAGUUCUCGAAACUUAUCUGGGUCAGAAUAUUGUUAGGUUGUCUUAGCAGCAGCAUCUCAUCUCACUUCAAAUUAGAAAGGCUUCUUGGUGGAAACGUGAAAUGGCUGAAAGGCUGAAAACUCAGUGUGUGCCCUUGAUGGGAGCUCUUGUAUGCUCAAGGCAGUCGUCAGCCAUAGCGACUGGGAAAACAGAGCUGUUGGAUGUGCCAGACUUCAAAAGAAGUGUCUGGAUGCAUGAAAAAGCAACUUGCUAUAAAGCCCACCAAGGUUAAUGCAUUUUCUUCCAGCAAUUGCAAAUUCAUUUUGUUCUCCUUUUCCACCUCCUCCCAAACUGUGUCAUUUUAAUCAAGUUUCUGUAAAAUACCAUUCUAAAUAGUUAUAUGCCGCAAGACUGAUUACUGGUUACAUGUAGAACGUGAGACAGGAGAAGGGAAGCUGAUUUUUGCUAUUGCCACAGGAGACUGUAUCCACUUUAUCUUAAUACUCAGCACAUAAGGUCACCAAGCCGAGCAUUAUCUUUUGAUAAGCAAAGUAGGUACAAUAUUACCUUUGAAAUAGCUAAGUGAUUUG